CGCCGGCCGCACGCUCCCGCCACAGCGACCCCUGGAGGCGCGGCGGGAUGGCGGCAGGCGCUCCCCGCCCGCCGCGCAGGGAGGGAGUGGCGGCCCGGGCCGGGAGCCCUCGGGUGACGGGUUCGAGCCCCGGCGGAGCGCCCACCCGCCAGGGGUUGGCACCUGCGGGGCUCGGCCAGGCCAGGAAAAUACACAGCUGUCCUAACGAAUUUUGGGAACAGGAGAUUGUCACUGCAUUUGCAGAAAUGUACAGGAGCAGAUUGAGGCUCUUUUACCAAAGGACUAAAAUAAGGAAUUUCCAUGGUGUGAAGGAUUUCCCCGUGGGUGCAGACUGGGCAUGAAAGGUCCUCUGGAGACUCCUCAAAUGAGAGGCUUAUUUCAAGACGUUUCCUGUUGAGUAACUGAUGCUGCUGCUGCUGCGAGGUAAAGGGAGACAUACACAAUGCUGAAGGGAACGUAUGGUAAUGUCAUGGCAAUGACAGGCAUGAAGCCAAAGGCUGCCCUUAUCUUUCCUUCCAUCCCAGAGGAGCUAAGCAGGCAGUGCAGAGGGAGAACAC
rnacentral:lncRNA from 1 species